rnacentral:lncRNA from 1 species
GUGAGGGCUUCAAGGUGGUAUGUUAGUCUACAGCCAAGGUGGUUGGAGGUUGGAGUUGUGGUGGCUAGAAUUGGUGCGCUGUUCGUUUUUGGUUGCGUGGGCAGCUUCUUUGACCGGAGAUUUCAGGCAGAUCUGAUGGAGUUUUGGUCAUUGGUUGGGUGGGUUGGAACGAGUGAAGUGAGGGCUUCAAAGUGGUAUGUUGGUCGACUGCCAAGGUGGUUGGAGGUUGGAGUUGUGGUGGCCAGAAGUGGUGGCUCAAAAUCCUCAAAAUUCACCUUCUUCCUAAAAAUUUCAGGCAGUUUAUGCAAGAAAAUUAGCUCGAUUUUGCUGUGAUUUGGGGCUGUUGUUUGUGUAGGGAUGUUAGGGGUUGAUGAGGAGAUGGUGGUGGCGCAAAAAUCCGGUGGCUGUGGUAGCUAGAAGUUGGCUUCCAUGGUUGGGCCGAAAUUUUGUGCCUGAGAUUCUCAAUAUUGUAUGGUCACGUGUUUUCGAUCCUUAAGUUUGAAUUAGAGUCAAAAAGGUCCUGAUCGUGACCAUUUGUGCAAGUUUUUAAAUUUAAG